rnacentral:rRNA from 1 species
GGAUGCGAUUUACCAGCACUAACGCAUCGGAUCCCAUCAAAACUCCGAAGCUAAGUGUGCCUGGGCGAGAGGAGUACAAGGUUGAGUGACCUCCAGGAAGUCCUCGUGUUGCAUCCC